rnacentral:tRNA from 1 species
GGGGGUUUAGCUCAUUUGGUAGAGCGUCUGAUUUGCAUUCAGAAGGUGAGGAGUUCGAAUCUCCUAAUCUCCA